GGAUGUGAAGGUGAUCUGGCUGAGACAUCAGUCACCCCAUUGAACACCAGCAUUGAUUCAGUUGGUCUGGUUGGCUAAGCAGGUGUUCCCUUCCUCCCUCACCACUCCAUGUUCAUCCCUCCCAAAGCUGCACACUCUUGUCAAAGAAGGCCACCUUCCCUGAUAACAGGAGGACAGAGGACCAUUUUCAGUCAAGGGUACUGUACUCCCCUGCUUGAACUUCCAAACAAGCUCUCAAAAAUGUAGUCACUAAUACAGGCUUAUUGAAGAGAAUCUUCAGCUUGCUUUCUAUUUUUUCUAGCCAAGCAAUUUAAAUUGUGAUAUUUUCAUU
ensembl:misc_RNA 7SK 7SK RNA